CGGCAGUGUGUGGCUGUGGCCGUGCCCGCUGGUGAGGCCAGGCAGGCUCCCUCCCCACCGCCUGACGCUCCUCAGGGUCCCCACUGCGAGGGGUAGAGUCAGCACUGAGACCCCCCUGGGCCGCCCUGUGUGCACAAAUUCCCUGACUCUUGGGACCCCAUGGACUACAGCCCGCCAGGCUCCUCUCUUCAUGGGAUUCUCCAGGCAAGAAUACUGAACAGAGGCAGAUUAACAGUGCUCUGGAUUCCCUUCCUGAUCACAAGUUUCCAACCAGAAUUGAUGGGCCAGAAUUGAUAGGAGUGAAGAGCACAGACCACGAAGACAGCGGAAGGGAGCGAUGAUAGAGUAUGACAGUAAACUCUACACAAAGAUGUAAAUUUGUGGCUGCUGCUGCUGCUGCUAAGUUGCGUCAGUCGUGUCUGCCUCUGUGCGACCCCAUAGACGGAA